AAAUACAUGCAAGUCGAGCGGACAGAUGGGAGCUUGCUCCCUGAUGUUAGCGGCGGACGGGUGAGUAACACGUGGGUAACCUGCCUGUAAGACUGGGAUAACUCCGGGAAACCGGGGCUAAUACCGGAUGGUUGUUUGAACCGCAGGUUCAGACAUAAAAGGUGGCUUCGGCUACCACUUACAGAUGGACCCGCGGCGCAUAGCUAGUUGGUGAGGUAACGGCUCACCAAGGCGACGAUGCGUAGCCGACCUGAGAGGGUGAUCGGCCACACUGGGACUGAGACACGGCCCAGACUCCUACGGGAGGCAGCAGUAGGGAAUCUUCCGCAAUGGACGAAAGUCUGACGGAGCAACGCCGCGUGAGUGAUGAAGGUUUUCGGAUCGUAAAGCUCUGUUGUUAGGGAAGAACAAGUGCCGUUCAAAUAGGGCGGCACCUUGACGGUACCUAACCAGAAAGCCACGGCUAACUACGUGCCAGCAGCCGCGGUAAUACGUAGGUGGCAAGCGUUGUCCGGAAUUAUUGGGCGUAAAGGGCUCGCAGGCGGUUUCUUAAGUCUGAUGUGAAAGCCCCCGGCUCAACCGGGGAGGGUCAUUGGAAACUGGGGAACUUGAGUGCAGAAGAGGAGAGUGGAAUUCCACGUGUAGCGGUGAAAUGCGUAGAGAUGUGGAGGAACACCAGUGGCGAAGGCGACUCUCUGGUCUGUAACUGACGCUGAGGAGCGAAAGCGUGGGGAGCGAACAGGAUUAGAUACCCUGGUAGUCCACGCCGUAAACGAUGAGUGCUAAGUGUUAGGGGGUUUCCGCCCCUUAGUGCUGCAGCUAACGCAUUAAGCACUCCGCCUGGGGAGUACGGUCGCAAGACUGAAACUCAAAGGAAUUGACGGGGGCCCGCACAAGCGGUGGAGCAUGUGGUUUAAUUCGAAGCAACGCGAAGAACCUUACCAGGUCUUGACAUCCUCUGACAAUCCUAGAGAUAGGACGUCCCCUUCGGGGGCAGAGUGACAGUUGGUGCAUGGUUGUCGUCAGCUCGUGUCGUGAGAUGUUGGGUUAAGUCCCGCAACGAGCGCAACCCUUGAUCUUAGUUGCCAGCAUUCAGUUGGGCACUCUAAGGUGACUGCCGGUGACACCCCGGAGGAAAGGGG
rnacentral:rRNA from 1 species